AUAGCAUAUUAACAUAGUUUCAGAAUUUUCAGGGUCCAACAUAGUCUUGGGUCUAACCUGCCUUUAUGGGUGCUCAGUAAGAGUAUGUGGAAGGAAUGAACAAAGGAAUGGCUUGUCCCUGAGGGUACCUGCAUGGCUUCACACCAAGUCCCACCCACCUGGCCUCUCAACCCUCAGACCUUUGAUGGCACCUCUUCGAGAAUUGUCUUUCCUGGCAGAUCCCUGGAAUCUACGAAAACAGGAGUUCUGCUCCCCUGGAUCCUCUAGGAUCCCUCAGGGAGCCUGAGAGAGUCACUCAAUUACGGUUCUGUAUUUUGAGAUCUGGAGAUAAAUCUUGCGCAUCAUCAAACCCCACCGUGUCACUUUAUCAAUGAAGGAACGAAGCUCAGAGAGAAAAGCUAACCUGCCCAAGGGCUUCUAAGAGCUGGCAGCGCCACAGGGAUAAAUAAGGCCAACAACCGCACCUUACAUGGCCAUCCCAGCAGCCGCCCGGAAUCCCGAGGAUUACGCAGACUUCUGGAGGACUUGGAACAAGUGCACAUCACCUGCUGCCACCACAAGUGUUGCCCGGGCUUCUGCAGCCUCUGUCCUGUGACUGAGGAAUUUUUAAAUGGAAGCUCUGAGCUCACAAAGAAGAAAAUGUCUCCCUGAUGUCACACAGUUGCUGCCAAUUCAUCAGCUCCAGCUAAAGGUCAGCGAGGGGGAAGCCACUGCCGGAGGGUCUGGCUGCCCCUCCCUGAGAUGGGGCUUCCCUCCUGCAGGCUUGCUGCCAGCCAUCCAGGCCAGCCACAGAAGCUGAGGGCUGCUUGCAUUUCCAGGGCACACACAGAGCAGUACGAACACCGCUUAGCUGCUUCUGCCCUCCUCUGUGCAGAUAUUAACAGAUUCAACCUCCCAGCCCUAUCCUCCCCAGCUCUCCCUUCUGUAGACAGUCAGAGCAAACCCUGGAGUCUUGAUCUAACGUGUCCUGAGGGUCCUUCCCUGGGAUCACUUCAGGAGUAACACUAAAUCACAGAGAGGUUGUCUUGGGUUUUUAAUGACGAAAUGCAGUGGUCAAAAGCUAGGAA
rnacentral:lncRNA from 10 species